GGACUUAGGAAUCUCCAAAUAAGACUUUAGAUUUACUGGGACAGAAAGUUCCAUGUUACCUCUUAAUGGAAGCCUUCUUCAUGCUGAACCAUUAGACAUGACAAAGAAAAUUCUGGAUGUUCGUCCAUUUACGAGGAUUUUCGGCUGGAGCAACGGGAAGACAUUCUUCCACAUGGCCAUUGGCAAUUUGAACGGCAGCCGUGAUCACCUCGGCUGCUCUGAUGUUUAUGGAAUAUUGCAAAUCGAUCCACAGCCCAGCAGCAUUUGUCUUCCAGUGGAGAUACCAGCAUGCGCAAAUACCAGCUGGGCAACGACUGAAGAG